rnacentral:rRNA from 1 species
AUGCUUAACACAUGCAAGUCGAACGGAAACGAUGGAAGCUUGCUUCCAGGCGUCGAGUGGCGGACGGGUGAGUAAUGCUUGGGAAUCUGCCUAAUAGUGGGGGAAAACUCGGGGAAACUCGGGCUAAUACCGCAUAAUCUCUUCGGAGGAAAGAGGGCCUCUACAUGUAAGCUCUCGCUAAUAGAUGAGCCCAAGUCAGAUUAGCUUGUUGGUGAGGUAAAAGCUCACCAAGGCUACGAUCUGUAGCUGGUCUGAGAGGACGAUCAGCCACACUGGGACUGAGACACGGCCCAGACUCCUACGGGAGGCAGCAGUGGGGAAUAUUGCACAAUGGGCGCAAGCCUGAUGCAGCAAUACCGCGUGUGUGAAGAAGGCCUUAGGGUUGUAAAGCACUUUCAAUAGAGAAGAAAAGCUUAGAGUUAAUAACUCUAAGCAUUGACGUAACCUAUAGAAGAAGCACCGGCUAAAUCCGUGCCAGCAGCCGCGGUAAUACGGAUGGUGCGAGCGUUAAUCGGAAUUACUGGGCGUAAAGCGCGCGUAGGCUGUUUUAUAAGUCGGAUGUGAAAUCCCCGGGCUCAACCUGGGAACUGCAUCCGAAACUAUUUAACUAGAGUAUGGGAGAGGUAAGUAGAAUUUCCGGUGUAGCGGUGAAAUGCGUAGAUAUCGGAAGGAACACCAGUGG